rnacentral:rRNA from 1 species
AAUGGGGACAGGCCCCCAAAACCAAGGCGAAUGAAGCGGCAAAAGCUCAAAUUUGAAAUCUGGCCCCGUCAGGAGCCCGAGUUGUAAUUUGGAGAGGACACUUCGGGUGUGGCCGCGGCGUAAGUCCCUUGGAACAGGGCGUCAUAGAGGGUGAGAAUCCCGUCUUGCGCCGCCGGACCACGCCCAUGCGAAGUUCCUUCGACGAGUCGAGUUGUUUGGGAAUGCAGCUCUAAGUGGGUGGUAAAUUUCAUCUAAAGCUAAAUAUUGGCCAGAGACCGAUAGCGAACAAGUAGAGUGAUCGAAAGGUUAAAAGCACCUUGAAAAGGGAGUUAAAUAGCACGUGAAAUUGUUGAAAGGGAAGCGCUUGCAACCAGACUCGGUCGCGGGGGCUCAGCGGGCAUGCUUGCCCGUGUACUCCCCCGCGUUCGGGCCAGCAUCGGUUCCGGCGGUUGGUCAAAGGCCCCUGGAAUGUGUCGUCCUCCGGGACGUCUUAUAGCCAGGGGCGCAAUGCUGCCAGCCGGGACCGAGGAACGCGCUUCGGCACGGAUGCUGGCAUAAUGGUUGUAAGCGGCCCGUCUUGAAACACGGACCAG